rnacentral:misc_RNA from 1 species
UAAUCAGAUGCUGCGAGGCCUAGG